CUUUUCUCUGCCUCUUGUCUCUCCCUCCCCUCCCCCCAGGACAGAAUUAUAUCGGUCACUGUUUGGCAAGCAGGCCCGCCUGGAAGAAGGACACCAAGCGUAGUGAUCCAUAGGAAACCUUUGGAGGUUCUGGAAUGUGGGAGAAGUUCUCGGUUUGGAUCGUCCCACCACCCUACAGGCCUCGCUCAGGAGAGCCAAGGUACAACCAAUUUUGACCAUUCAAAAUUAAAACAGCACUAAAAAAAGUGACUCGUUUCACACUUAACAACCGUUGUGGCAUUUUCCACAGUCACAUGAUAAAAAUUUGGACCCUUGGCAACUGGCAUGUAUUCUGGGAGUUAAAGUCUACAGAUGUGAUGACCCGGGGCAAGACAUCACACGAAGGCAACACAGUCAGCUGAUAGUUCAAAACUCCCCUUUAUUACUCCCAACUUUCCCCCAAACACUCCCACGUUUAUGGCAAGUCCCAAAGCAAAGCACUCACACACACACUUCCAGCAGCCUCUGGCUGUGAGUAGUCCAGCAAAACGCUGUUAGCACAAUGGCUUCAAGGCAAGAAGUCCAGUGGGUCAAGAGAAUCAGUCAAGGAGUCCAACGAAGCAAAGGAACAAGGCAAGAUGUCCACUGAACUCCAGAUGUCGGCAAAGGCACACCAAACUCCAUGAAUUCAGCUUUUGUUUCUGACAAAUGCCCCUCCCCACAGUGUCUCCUUAAGUCUCAGUCCCCAGGUGUGUCUUGUGAAGAGGAGCGGGGCAUUCUCCUCCCAAGUUGUCCGGUCAGCCUGCGCUGUUGCUGCCUCCUCUCCUCUCUCCAUGCUCGAGGAUCAGGAGGAGGCGGUCCUUGCUCGUCACCUGAGCUCUGUCGCUCCUCGUCUCUACUGCCUGCCCUCUCUUUCCCCCCAUCUCAGUCAUCUUGCCCCUGUUCUUCCCUGCUGGCAAGCCAUCCCAAACCUGAGGGACUCGGGGCUGCCUCAUCCUGCUCCCCGCGUUCCUCCGAAGCCAGCGAGGCCACCCCUUUGACCUUCUUCAGCCCCAGCUCCAGCUUGUCGUCCUCUGCAGCAAAGCUUCGACGGGGCCAUGACACUAGGUUUUAAAGUUGCCAAGAUUGGGCAUCCCUGCUCUUUAAGGGUUUCAAGAAGGACUGAAAACUUUCUAGUUAGGGUAGCGGGUAUUUUGAAACGGGAGGAUUUCAAACUUUGAAAGAUUUGAAACUUGAAUCCUUGUGCAAACGCCUGCAAAGAAUAUUCCUCCGCUGAAAAACGGGCCUUUUAUUUGCACAUGGAGGAUUUGUUUGCUUAUUAAAUUGUGGGUUACUUCAGACCUCCCUUAAUACUUCAAAAAGAUGCUUGAACUAAGAUUUCGGUAAUAUGCAAGUACUCUACAAAUGUAAUGAUUCAUUAACUCGGUUCACCGAAAGGGGCCUAAUUAACUAAUUGGUUUGACAGUCUUGUUUUAUUAUCUACUGUGUACUUUGGUGUUUUUUUUUUUUUUUUAAUAAAUACAGUUUAUUAUUCUGAGCACCGUAAAUUAGAUUUGCAAGUUUAACCUUUCCGUGUAUAAACUCAGUUAUAUUCCUCUGGGCUGGGGUUUUAUGACAUGGUCACUCAUGGCUAAGUAAACUGUGGUUUAUUAAUCGGUUUAUUUAUGGCUUACUAUCUUCUGUAAACACACUUUGAUUAUUGAAAGAAAGGAGAAGAUGAAUGUAUAGGAAGGUGGAAUUUAAAAACAUUUCUUUGGGGUUUAGUGGAAGAAGACCCGGAGAAAAAAAAAUUCGGAACUUUGAU